GCGUCAGUAGUGUAACGGGUUAGAGCAUGCGCUGCCGGAGAGAGUGAGGUGUGGGUUCGAAUCCCGCCUCACGCG